UGACUACGAGUUAAGUCGCAGACUCCAUCAAAUAAAUGAUUUCCCCAAAUCAUAUACCUAUAAAAGGGCGCAGCUCUCUCGACCAUCCCUCCGUUCUGCAACUCCUCCAGGAGCAGACACCGACCGAGUCGGGCACAAGCAUCGUUCAGAAUGACGAGGGAAGAGGUCCUAUCUUUAUCCGAUGUCUCUGAUUCUUUCCAAGAAACAGCCCUAUUUACAUGUCAUGGUUCUUCUUCUUCUUCUUCUUCUUUCUAUCUUUUCCGGUCUAAGUUGAAAAGAUUUCGAUGUUCACGUUGGUCGUGUAAGCUUGCUUGGUGUGGAACUAGUGGCGAACUUGUUGAGACUCAUAAUGGUGAGAAAAGAAUCGGUCGAUUUUUUGGUGCAGUUCUUGAUGCAUUCUCUGCAGACUUGUGUUUCACAUGGAAAUCGGCUUGUUGGAGCCCUAAAUUUUGUUUAUAAUUGAAAUCAAUAAGAUAUUUCUUAUUUUCUAAAAUCUUAUUCAAUAAUUAGCUUAUAUAUAUAAAUCCUCAGAAGAAAAGAGCAAAUAAGGAAAAGAAGAAAUCAACACAAAACAAGACGGCCAUUUGAGAUAGAGGGGUCAUUAUCGACAAGUGGACCAAUUGGUUAGAUCAUAAUUUAAUGCAAAGCUUUCUUUUGAUUUUAAAUUUGAAAAAAAAUAAAGUAUGAGGUGCUUUCUUUUGAUUCUAAAUUCUGAAAGGUCCCCGGUAAAUUAAAUGCUGCGUCACUUCAAAUUUUAGUAUUUUACAUAUAUGUCAUUGCAAAUUCUAACAACACCAUAUUUUUUCCUCGUGUUUUGGGCACUCGUUAUCGAAUGCAUUGGUUGUUCCUUCUCUCCCUCUUUUUUUCUAUUGAUCUGCUAUUUAAAUGUCUUAGUUGUUGGAUGUCUUGUUUAAUUGUUUCUUUGAUUCUAUAUACGUUUAGUCUUUUCUCUAGUGUUUCUUUUGAACUUUCUUUUUCUCUUGUGCUUUUGUUCUGCACAGAAUUGCAUCCGAGGAAGAUGAAGCCAAACUCUAUAAGCCUUUCUCAUUCUUAUAUAUGCCAGGGAAUAAGUAUUUGAGUUUAGGUGCUUAAUAAGGGAAGUAAAUAUUAGAUUUUAGGUGCUUUCGGCAUUGAAUACGAGUGUAAUACCAGUUUGAGUCCUAACGCUCUUGCUUCUUCUGCUGACUGCUUUCAUUCUUUGAUUUGACUUGUGCUAACGAGGAUAAUUUGAAAGUAAGAAAUGAUUGUUUGACUUGCACUAAUGGAGUGUAGUGGGUAGUCCGGUUAUGAUCUUAUCUUAAAUGUGCCUGGAAUUCAAUUGGGUAGCAACGUUCUUAAAGUUUAGUGCCUAGCUGAGUUCUUCUUGUUUAGAGGUCAGGAGUUAGCAGUUAGGUUACCACAGAGUAAGAUGCCAGCAGUUGGCUACCGCUACAUAAAAUGUUAGCAGUUAGGUUAGGUUCCGCUGUUCUAUUAGUUUUGCACUCCAUUCUAUUCCAUAAGUGAGUUUUAGAGUAAUAAGUGAGUUUGUCGGCAAAAGCCUUAGUGAUUAAAGGAAGCAAAGAAGGUUGUUUGAGAAUGCUUAUUCAGGUCAUAAUAUGGUUGACUUGAAUUUUUCUGAUGAAUAUAAAUUCCAUUUAUUCAGUUUUGCUUUAUUCUUUUCCUAGAAAAUUACAUGUGUUCAUCUCCUAACAAGUCUUAACAAUCUCUAUUCUGAUCUAAGUAUUCCUUUUCUUGUAUACUACUUGGUGCUGAUUUCCUUAACCAGUACCAAGAAAAUCUAGUCUAUACAAUAAUUUCAAUUUUCAAGGGUACAAUAUAAAUCUUAAUUGAUUUAUAUGAUAUGAUUAACUAUGUCACCUGUUUACACAUGCAAAUUGUUCUACUGACGGAAGCAUAUAGCCUUUCUCUAACCUUAGUUGUUUUCAGGAAAAAAAUGAGUUUUAUCUAAGAGCUUAUUGGCAGUCUCAGUUGGAAUAAAACCAAAAGAAAUGGUAAUUGAACUUGUAAAGAAGGCACUUACAAUAUUGUUUACAUUUUUCUUUCUUCAUUUUAAAAACUCCUAGUAUGAACUAAUAAGUUGAAGAUGACUAUUUCCUCCUGGUUAUGUUGUUUAUUGUAUCUCCUUCCUUUUCUGUAAUUUCACUGUAAUGCUUUUCCACUAUGAUGGAAUUGUUGAUCAAUGGAGUGACUUUGAAUGGAGUGACACUGCAGUACAUAUCUCUGCAAUCAAUCGAACCAAAUGGUGGUUUGCUAAGCAUUUCUUACAUCCAGAUAUAGUGGCUGAGUAUAAACACAUCUUCCUUUGGGAUGAAGACAUUGGAGUAGAAAAUUUUCACCCUGGAAGGUUUGUGGAAAUGAUGGUUCCAGUUUUCACAAAAGCUGCUUGGCAAUGUGCAUGACAUAUGAUCCGAAAUGACUUGCGUCAUUGGUGGGGGGUUUAGACAUGAAAUUUGGUUACUGUCUGCUCAGGGUGAUCGGAUUAUAAAUGUUGGAGUCAUAGAUAGUGAAUACAUCAUUCACAAGGGGACCCCUACACUUGGUGGAGAUCCUGAGAAAAUUGGCAGAUCUUUCUACUUCGUUGUCCAUUGAUCGUGCAACAAUCUGACACGGAUACUUGCAGGAUUCUAAUGGAUCAUCUACCACCGCUCUUAGAGCUGCUGUGAUACAUGGUUGCUACCUGAGCUGGGUAUCUUUAGAAGGAGAUGGCAACAAGCAGUGGAAGAAGAUUAAGUGCUGGAUUGACCCAUACCCUCGAGCUUGAAAGAUACAUCAAUUCAUUCCACCAUCUUCUCAACUUCGGUAAGAACACAACGCCAAGUACAAUAGUCAUCUACAACGCCAAAGACGAUGUUACUCCAUGUAUUAAGCUUACAUGAGGUUCUGCUAUUCGGAUAUCACCAAGUAUGAAAAUAUUUUUUUCCAGUGAAGUUGACAUUUGUAGAGUCCAUGACACCAUAAGAUGCCAUUUCUUUGAGAUCUAUAUUUAAGACUUGGAUUGUACA